rnacentral:misc_RNA from 1 species
ACAUGAGAGCAGGAACGUCUAUUGAAGCAAAUGUUAUGUUAUACACACUACCCGAAGAAUCAAUAUGUGUCCUAUAUGCAGCAGGAUGUCACUAGCAUUGGGUUUGGAAAUGUUUAUCAACCAGCCUCAAUCAGGACACGAGAGGGAUUUCAACUAAAACUGAUCAAGAACUGCGACACGGAACAGAACCGAGAUCUAUCCAAAUUGCCAUCACAAUGAAGAUCAUCUGUGGCCUUAUCCUGACACUAACUGUGACCUCUUCUACAAGCCAGAAGACAUGUCAAAUAAAGCCAGACCCCCAGCUUGGUGGUAGCCGUGUUGACUGUCAGAACCUCAACCUUACCUCUGUUCCUGGUGAUCUCCCUCCCAACACUGUCAGUCUGGAUCUCAGCGGGAACAACAUAACGGUUCUCAGGGACCAGGCGUUUGUGUGUCUUCCCCGAUUGUUGUAUUUGAACAUUGUAAACUGUCAAGUAUCACGGUUGGAAGCAAACGCAUUUAAAGGUUUAUCCCUCCUUCUCAGUUUACGCCUUAAUAACAAUAAUCUCCAACUGGACAAUCACACCUAUCCAGAAGAUGUCUUCCGUCCUCUACAAAGUCUUACAGAGUUGAACAUUGGUAACAACGACUGCCGACUGAGAGGAACUACUCCGGAUUGGAUAUUCAAAUGGUUAAUAAAUUUAGAAACACUGACAAUUGAUACAUUUGAAUAUGAAAUAUUUGGAAGUGGAUUUGGGUAUUUGCAAAAACUGGUAACAUUGAAUAUUGGAACUGGAUCAAAAGGUGAUUGU